GAUAUGUUCGAGUAACAAAGCUUCAAAAUAGACCGAAACUUUUAAAAUAUCUCUCUAACCUUUCGACCUCUCUGAUGUGCCUAUACAGUACUUCCAACUGGAGCUUCGUGUAGGGGAGAUCUCUGGUGGCUUUGGCCACCGAGAUGAUCGGCUCUCCUAUCAACCAUACUCCUUUGGGAUGCCAUCGUUUGGUGAACGUUGACAGGAGAGAAGGAAGAUGGUUAGCGAUGGUAGCAGAGGCGCAAUUUCACAGGCAAUUGAAGAUCGGCGCCACGUCCUUUCUGCUUUCUACCACCGAUAACCAAGCCUCGUAUCCGUCCGUCGAAGGCCUAGGAAUUGAGUUAAAAUUUGGUGUUAUGAAAUACAGUCGAAUAUUUAUUUUAUUAUAAUUAAUUUUAUUUAAAUUUUAUUAUAUAAAAUUUUAAAUUAAUUUUAUUGCA